UCCCAACUGCUAUGGCAUGAUUAAUAGAAUAUUAGGCUUGGAAGGGUCCUCAGGAGGUCAUCUAAUCCAACCCCUUGCUCAAAGUAGGACCAACCCCCAGACAGAUUUUUG